AUACUUCAUUUUUUAUACUUUAAUUUCCUCUAUACCUCACUUUUAUUGGAGAAAAAAGAGAAUAGAAAAUAGUGGAUUUCUCUUCUUUUUUUCAAUCAAAGGGAGUUGUAGGGGAAAAGUUUAGAAAAUGGCGUGU
ncrna:Glycine max miR2119 stem-loop (gma-MIR2119)